rfam:TPA: Bos taurus chromosome 27, whole genome shotgun sequence.
UCCCUGAUAACUCAGUUGGUAAAAGAAUCCGCCUGCAAUGCAGGAGACCCUGGUUCGAUUCCUGGGUCGGGGAG